UACGUAGGGCGCAAGCGUUUAUCCGGAAUUAUUGGGCGUAAAGAGCUCGUAGGCGGUUUGUCGCGUCUGCCGUGAAAGUCCGGGGCUCAACUCCGGAUCUGCGGUGGGUACGGGCAGACUAGAGUGAUGUAGGGGAGACUGGAAUUCCUGGUGUAGCGGUGGAAUGCGCAGAUAUCAGGAGGAACACCGAUGGCGAAGGCAGCUCGCUGGGACGGUACUGACGCUGAUGCGCGAAAGCCAGGGGGAGCGAACGGGG
rnacentral:rRNA from 1 species